AAUAGAUACCCCGGUAGUCCACGCCGUAAACGAUGAGUGCUAGGUGUUGGGGGCAUCACGUCCUCAGUGCCGAAGGAAACCCAAUAAGCACUCCGCCUGGGGAGUACGGCCGCAAGGCUGAAACUCAAAGGAAUUGACGGGGGCCCGCACAAGCGGUGGAGCAUGUGGUUUAAUUCGAAGCAACGCGAAGAACCUUACCAAGGCUUGACAUCCCAUUGACCGCACUAGAGAUAGUGCUUCCCUUCGGGGCAAUGGUGACAGGUGGUGCAUGGUUGUCGUCAGCUCGUGUCGUGAGAUGUUGGGUUCAGUCCCGCAACGAGCGCAACCCUUAUCCUUAGUUGCCAGCAGGUAAAGCUGGGCUCUCUAAGGAGACAGCCGGUGAAAGCCGGAGGAAGGUGGGGAUGACGUCAAAUCAUCAUGCCCCUUACGUCUUGGGCUACACACGUGCUACAAUGGAUGGUACAAAGGGCAGCAAAACCGCGAGGUCGAGCAAAUCCCAUAAAGCCAUUCUCAGUUCGGAUUGUAGG
rnacentral:rRNA from 1 species